GACGAACGCUGGCGGCGUGCCUAAUACAUGCAAGUAGAACGCACAGUUUAUACCGUAGCUUGCUACACCAUAGACUGUGAGUUGCGAACGGGUGAGUAACGCGUAGGUAACCUGCCUGGUAGCGGGGGAUAACUAUUGGAAACGAUAGCUAAUACCGCAUAAUAUUGAUUAUUGCAUGAUAAUUAAUUGAAAGGUGCAAUUGCACCACUACCAGAUGGACCUGCGUUGUAUUAGCUAGUAGGUGAGGUAACGGCUCACCUAGGCGACGAUACAUAGCCGACCUGGGAGGGUGAUCGGCCACACUGGGACUGAGACACGGCCCAGACUCCUACGAGAGGCAGCAGUAGGGAAUCUUCGGCAAUGGACGAAAGUCUGACCGAGCAACGCCGCGUGAGUGAAGAAGGUUUUCGGAUCGUAAAGCUCUGUUGUAAGAGAAGAACGGGUGUGAGAGUGGAAAGUUCACACUGUGACGGUAUCUUACCAGAAAGGGACGGCUAACUACGUG
rnacentral:rRNA from 1 species